UAUCGAUCGUUGAUAAGGAGAAGUAGGAAACCGCUGGCUUAUGCAGAGAGAAUCAUCACCGGCUGAAAGUGAUUCUAAGCGAAGUUUCCGAAAUGCACCUUUGAGUCUGUUAUGGAAGCUAGUAUAUAACAGCGGGGACUCUUCCGUUAGUAGAGAAAGUUGAGAGCUUGAACAUGCUCUAAACAGAGUGGGACCGCGCGGUAAGCGUCUCUGUG
rnacentral:ncRNA from 1 species